UCUCUAUGAAACAAUCAGAGGCUCUGAAGAACCUGAACAAGAUGAAUAAAACAUCUGCAUGGACAGAACCAGGGGAACGGAUGACGACAUGAAAAACCACAUCUUUGUCUUUUUGAGUAAUUAUUGUGUGAACUUCUUCUUUCCUGAUAUGAGACAGUGUUUUGUAGUUAACCCAUGAAAAGAUCAUUUAAAGGAUCAUGUGUCUUCAAAGGUUUUACUUUUAAUGUUGGUAUUGAGUGUUUACUGUACAUUUAAUUUUUUUUCUGUAGAAAACUUUGAAUGGAGGCUGGUUUGAAAAGCAGUUUGACGUCUUUAAGCUUCAGUG
ensembl:lncRNA